UCCAUGUCAAUUCUAAGUUUUAAAGUGAUGAAUCUUUUAAACUUUUAGGCUUUGAAAAUGUUCUUGACUUGAACUCAACGUGCCAACAUGUGGAGCCAACCCAGAGAUCAAGUCAUGGAGACCACCGAGGGGAACCAGAGUCUACAGAGACAUUCUCGCUGACAGGCCUGGGCCAUGCUUUGGACUGGGAGAGUACAGAGAAGUGCCGAGCCACACCUGUGCAUGGGAAAUGAG
rnacentral:lncRNA from 1 species